UCCGUAGGUGGAUAAUUAAGUCAGAGGUGAAAUCCUGCAGCUCAACUGUAGAAUUGCCUUUGAUACUGGUUAUCUUGAGUUAUUAUGAAGUAGUUAGAAUAUGUAGUGUAGCGGUGAAAUGCAUAGAUAUUACAUAGAAUACCAAUUGCGAAGGCAGAUCACUAAUAAUAUAUUGACGCUGAUGGACGAAAGCGUGGGGAGCGAACAGGAUUAGAUACCCUGGUAGUCC
rnacentral:rRNA from 1 species